GUAGGUUUCUGGAUCUACUCUCUUCCCAAUUCACACACCUCCUCCAUGGAAGUGUCGAAGAUCAAUUGGAAGAUGAUUGCCAAAGUAAUUGGCAAGUGAAGUAUCUGACGCAUAUUCUGGUCGAACUCACCAACACCGUCAUGGAAGUUACAUACGAUGUUCUUCUCCUUCACCUUCUCCUUCACCCCUUCAUACCUGAAACCCUAUCUGAAUUUUGGGGACCCAGAUCGGUUGGUUUUCUGUUCCUCGGAGAUUACAUUAUCGCUUCUGAUUCCCAUUUUCUUUCUUACUCUUCAACAUUCUCUACAAACCCUAGAAUCCAACGUUGUUCAUCCUGUUGCUUUUGUUCAAUAAAUAUCCUCAAUCUUUCACCAAAUCAAACAUUCUGAGACACUUUUCACAAACCCUAAAUACCUACACCAAGCAUUUGUGUCUUCUUCGAUUCAUUUGCUUUUUAUUCGAUUCAUCAUUCAGUUAUUUAAGGGUUUUGCUAUCCCUCUUCAAUCUGUUACCGCCAGAAGCUUUUUUUUCCGUGGAGCCAUGGCGAUUCUGCUGGUUCAUGUUGUAACUGGCAAGUCAUCAUUUAACAUGUUAAACCGCUCACAUGGAUCUCUGCAUUUUUCUUUGAGUGGUGGUUGGUUCGUUGAAUCAGGAAGAUUCAGCUUUUCAUGGGCGGCAAAACCAAACCCCAAAUCUCAUUUUAAAUUUCAACUCACAAGUCACAAAAAGACCACUACACACCACGACUCAAAUUCUCAAAACCAGUCAUUCAAGAUCUGCUUUAUGUGCUCAACUUCUAGAGAGAGAAACCGAUGAACGAGAAGUUGAUACAGCGGCUGGAAUCUGCCGUAGCACGGCUGGAAUCAUUAUGUCUUCCUUCGUUCUUCCGAUCCAACAACCAUCAGUUUAUAGUGAAUCAAGUCUGCAAAGAUAGGUGGCUACGGAGAAGAGUUCCCAGCGGUAGAUGGUGAUUGAGGUAUGUUCCGACAAACUGAGAUCUAGGGUUUUACUUUAAUUUUUGGAUUUUAUUUAACUACAAUUCGUGAACCAAAUCGGAUAAAUGCAAGUGAAAAGGAGAAGCUCAGCGCAAAGCUGGAUCUA